UACGUAGGUGGCAAGCGUUGUCCGGAUUUAUUGGGUUUAAAGGGUGCGUAGGCGGCCUAUUAAGUCAGUUCUGAAAUAUCCCGGCUUAACCGGGAGGGUGGGAUUGAUACUGAUGGGCUUGAGUGGAAUCGAGGUAGGCGGAAUUGACGGUGUAGCGGUGAAAUGCUUAGAUAUCGUCAAGAACACCGAUAGUGUAGACAGCUUACUAGAUUUCAACUGACGCUGAGGCACGAAAGUGUGGGGAUCAAACAGG
rnacentral:rRNA from 1 species